GGGGAAUUUUCCGCAAUGGGGGAAACCCUGACGGAGCAAUACCGCGUGGGGGAGGAAGGCCCUUGGGUUGUAAACCCCUUUUCUCAGGGAAGAACACAAUGACGGUACCUGAGGAAUCAGCCUCGGCUAACUCCGUGCCAGCAGCCGCGGUAAGACGGAGGAGGCAAGCGUUAUCCGGAAUUAUUGGGCGUAAAGCGUCUGUAGGUGGUUCCUUAAGUCCGCUGUCAAAUCCCAGGGCUCAACCCUGGACAGGCGGUGGAAACUAAUAAGCUGGAGUACGGUGGGGGCAGAGGGAAUUUCCGGUGGAGCGGUGAAAUGCGUAGAGAUCGGAAAGAACACCAAAGGCGAAGGCACUCUGCUGGGCCAUAACUGACACUGAUGGACGAAAGCUAGGGGAGCGAAAGGGAUUAGAUACCCCUGUAGUC
rnacentral:rRNA from 1 species